UUAACUAUUAUAUAGUACUCAGACGACAAUGAUAAUAUGAGUUUUGGAUCCUCUGGCAGGCGCUGACCAGCCGGAGCCGGUGGUCCGAAGACGGGCCUGCCAAAGCAACAAAGGUAAUGUAAACAAAGGGUGGGAGAUCUACCCCGAAGGGCAAGUUCUCUUUAGUGAUCCUUCCGCAGGUUCACCUACGGAAA
rnacentral:misc_RNA from 1 species